GGUUAUCACUUGAAGUCACUCUCCUUUUGAUUGCUGUGACUUCUCUAAUCACUUCUGUGAUUGCAAACAUUGCAUUUCUCUGUGACCGAUCUUCCAGGGCAAUGUGCAAACAAUUUACAGGAACAGAAAACACCUCUUUACAAACAAGACAUAACAUGAUCAAGCAAAAUGCAGGCAGAGUCGAGGAUGAAAAUAAUGCCAACUAUGCUGCGUUGAAUUUUUCAGAGAGCAAGGAGAGGAAAACAGGAAGGAAAGCUAUGGAGAUGAACACGGAAGAAAGUGUGUACUCUCAGAUCAAAUUCUGAAUAUGAAUACUUCUCCAUGGAUCUCCCUGAGCAAGGGUUUGUGUAUAUUGUACUGAAAUAAAUAUUAUAAAAAUAUGUUUUUAAAAAAGCCCCAUUCCCCUAAAAUGUAGGGAUAUUCAAUAAAUAUUGUUGCGCAUAUUUAUUUUGUGCAUCAACUUGUAUGUAAGCUUGCAUUUGAGGCUGACGGUAGCGGUAGUAGUUUGUCUUGUCACUGCUGUUGCCACUUUAAACCCUCAACCCAAAUGUCCAAUGUAGGGCAUGUAUUAGAUUCAAAUGAAAUAAGAAACUGGUGAAAACCAGAUGCACUUAUAUUAACAUUCGUCUAGGAUGAAACAAAUAUUAAUUUUAAUGUACAUAUUGUCAAAAUAAGUCAUGUCAAAUAUUCAAUAAUCAAUAGAAAAAUUGUUAAUGGAAUUGCAGUAAUCAAGUUCUUGUAAAUGCUGACCAUCUGUUUGCAUCUAUUCACUGGUAUUUGGAGGCUUUAUCUUUUAUGCUGACCUUGGACUCCUUGAUGUUGAAAGACCCUCUUGAUGUACUUAAGUUUUCAGCAACCUUCUCACAUUG